rnacentral:rRNA from 1 species
GUAGGGGGCAAGCGUUAUCCGGAUUUACUGGGUGUAAAGGGAGCGUAGGUGGCGUGCCAAGUCAGGAGUGAAAACCCAGGGCCCAACUCUGGGCCUGCUCUUGAAACUGGCAGGCUUGAGUGCUGGAGAGGUAAGCGGAAUUCCUAGUGUAGCGGUGAAAUGCGUAGAUAUUAGGAGGAACACCAGUGGCGAAGGCGGCUUACUGGACAGUGACUGACACUGAGGCUCGAAAGCGUGGGGAGCAAA